rnacentral:rRNA from 1 species
GUGAAUCAUCGAAUCUUUGAACGCACAUUGCGCCCUCUGGUAUUCCGGAG